rnacentral:rRNA from 1 species
GACGAACGCUGGCGGCGUGCUUAACACAUGCAAGUCGAACGGAAAGGCCCUGCUUUUGUGGGGUGCUCGAGUGGCGAACGGGUGAGUAACACGUGAGUAACCUGCCCUUGACUUUGGGAUAACUUCAGGAAACUGGGGCUAAUACCGGAUAGGAGCUCCUGCUGCAUGGUGGGGGUUGGAAAGUUUCGGCGGUUGGGGAUGGACUCGCGGCUUAUCAGCUUGUUGGUGGGGUAGUGGCUUACCAAGGCUUUGACGGGUAGCCGGCCUGAGAGGGUGACCGGCCACAUUGGGACAGGGAUACGGCCCAUACGCCUACGGGAGGCAGCAGUGGGGAAUAUUGCACAAUGGGCGGAAGCAUGAUGCAGCAACGCCGCGUGCGGGAUGACGGCCUUCGGGUUGUAAACCGCUUUCGCCUGUGACGAAGCGUGAGUGACGGUAAUGGGUAAAGAAGCACCGGCUAACUACGUG